UACAACCAUAUCAUGUUGCAACACCGGUUCUCAUAAGAUCACCAAAGUUAAGCAACCUCAAGCUUGGUCAGUACUUGGAUGGGUGAUUGCUUUGGGAAUACCAGGUGCUGUAAG